rnacentral:rRNA from 1 species
GACGAACGCUGGCGGCGUGCUUAACACAUGCAAGUCGAACGAUGAAGCCCAGCUUGCUGGGUGGAUUAGUGGCGAACGGGUGAGUAAUACGUGAGUAACCUGCCUUUAACUCUGGGAUAAGCCUUGGAAACGAGGUCUAAUACCGGAUACGACCAGUUCCCGCAUGGGAUGCUGGUGGAAAGGGAUAUGUACUGGUUUUAGAUGGGCUCACGGCCUAUCAGCUUGUUGGUGAGGUAACGGCUCACCAAGGCGACGACGGGUAGCCGGCCUGAGAGGGUGACCGGGCCACACUGGGACUGAGACACGGCCCAGACUCCUACGGGAGGCAGCAGUGGGGAAUAUUGGCACAAUGGGCGCAAGCCUGAUGCAGCGACGCCGCGUGAGGGAUGACGGCCUUCGGGUUGUAAACCUC